rnacentral:rRNA from 1 species
CAAUAGCGUAUAUUAAAGUUGUUGCAGUUAAAAAGCUCGUAGUUGGAUUUCUGGUGGGAGCGAUCGGUCUGGCGCUUAGCGCGAGUACUUGCAUCGUCUCCGGCCAUCCUUGGGGAGAGUCUGUCUGGCAUUAGGUUGUCGGGCAGAGGAUCCUCAUCGUUUACUGUGAAAAAAUUAGAGUGUUCAAAGCUGGCUUAUGCCGUUGAAUAUAUUAGCAUGGAAUAAUAAGAUAGGACUUUGGUACUAUUUUGUUGGUUUGCGCACCAAAGUAAUGAUUAAUAGGGACAGUUGGGGGUAUUCGUAUUCCGUUGUCAGAGGUGAAAUUCUUGGAUUUACGGAAGACGAACUACUGCGAAAGCAUUUACCAAGGAUGUUUNCAUUAA